UACUACGCAUUAAGUAUAUACUCAUCCAAAUUGAAUGAUCACAGAAUUAAUUAAUAACUGCAAAUGAAAUCUCCUCCAAAAUCAUCAUAUAAAUCUCCACUAGCAAAGUUUACUUAUAAUAAGUUCCAUCAUAGCCAUAAAAGAUCCACAAGAAUUAAACUAAAUGGUAGUCAAGAAUCUAGCAGUUGUUUUUCUUAUGCUCGUCCUGGCAGUGGAAUUAAACAAAGUGUAACAUUCAUCGUAGUUUCCCUAUCUCCGAGCACAUGGACUGCACAAAUGUUUAGUAAGAGAAUAUUCAGUUCUGCGGAUGGCUAAAGCAGUUCUCUAGACUGUUAUGUUAGGAAAAAUAAUGUAUAUGUAUAUAUCUAUGAAUAUGAAUUGGAUAAAUAAUGAAUUUAUGCAUAUAUAGGCUGUGUUAACUGAACAUGUUACAUUUGACAAUCUGUACCUUUA